CCCAACCUGCCAAAAGCUUCUCAAAACAACAGAACUGCAUCAAUCCAGCUAUGAAGUCAUGGACCGGGUUCAUCUGUAAUGGCCUGCAGCGUUGCCGCCUGCCAAAGACAAACCCAAGAAUGUUUGUAUGCGACCACGGUGCCAACUUUCUCCAGGUCAGCUAUUACUGCAGGAGACGACAACCCGCUGAGAAGACAUCUGUUGCCUGUCAAGGACAAACGGCA